CACACUGCAGCCCUGUGAGGAAAGGGGAGUGGUUCCUCUGCUGAGAACUCUGUGGCCCGAGGAGCUGAAGAGGUGGAGACCUCGCAGAAGCCAGCUAGAGCCCCCAGAGCUGGCAGACACCUGCUGGCACUGCCAUGGGCCCCCAGCUCCUUGGCUGUGUGGUCCUUUGUCUCCUGGGAGCAGGCUCCGUGGAAGCCCCAGUGACCCAGACCCCGAGAUACCUCAUCACAGGGCCUGGAAAGAAUGUGACAGUGACCUGUUCUCAGAACAUGAACCAUGAAUACAUGUUCUGGUAUCGACAAGACGCAGGGCUGGGUUUGAAGCUGAUCUACUAUUCAGCUAACGCGGACUUGGUGACUGAGGGAGAUGAUCCCCACGGCUACACUGCCUCUCGGAGAGAGAAGCCGAGCUUCCCGCUGAACCUGGAGUCCACCCGCACCAGCCAGACGGCUCUGUACCUCUGUGCCAGCAGCUUAUCCACAGCAGGGCACAGCCAGCUGCCUUCUGCACAAAAAGGGCCACCUCGAGAGCAGGAGGCCCCUCCCUCCGCAGGCCCCGCUCCAACCACGAGGGGAAACGUCCCCACCACCCGAGAAGCCCUGUCCCCACUCCCUGCCUCCGGGCCUCUGAGCAAGGCAGCUGCCCUGCAGCGGGGGCCACCGGGGCCGGCCGGUCUCUCACCGGCUGAACCAGAGAGCCCUCAAAGCUUGGGCAGGACAAGCUAA